CUCCAUUCAGGUUUGUUCUUCUUUGCAUUCAUAAAAAAUUCGUUGACCCUCUGCUCGAGCUGAUCCAUUGCAUUCUGCACCUGCAGGUCCAUCUCGCGCAUCUCGGUGAACCUGUCGCGCAGAUCCAUGGGAAGCUGCUCGAUCACUGCGGGCACACGGAGGGAGGGGCGGGGGAGAGAGGGGGGGGUGUCAGUCGCUCACCGCCGUGGGGGAGGGGGCGCCGCCACGUCGCCGCGCCCUCUCCCCGGCUCCCCUCCGCCGGCCGUGCCCGGCCGCCCGGCGUCCCCGUCCCGCACACACUCACUCUCCAGAUAGUCCUCCAGAUACAGCAUGGCGGCGGCCGGGCCAGCGCCAAGGGGCUUCUCGCUAACGGGGGCUCGUCCCUUCCAAUAUGGCGCCGCCGCCAACAACACCGGCGGCUCGACUCAGCGAAAACAACAUUGGCGGCUGACGGCGCCCGCCUCGGCCGCGCCGCGAUUGGCUGCCCGCGCCCGUGACGCGCCCGCGGCUCGCGCUGCUCUCGCGGCAUCACGGGAAAUGGAGUUCCGCGGGGCAGGGCCGGGGAACUACGCGGGCCGCCGUGCACCGCGGCGUGCGCCUCCCGCGGCGGGGGCGGGACCGGGAGGGCGGGAGCGCGAGGGUGGUGCGUCCCACUGCUGCUUGGCACUGGUGUGGGGUGUGUUAGGGGGAGAGUUGCACAGAAAACUUAAAAUAGGAAAAAAACGCCAUGAAAGGAGUUAAUGUGUAGUUGUUAUGCCUUGCGGUGUGUGGCCCGCUGUGAGGAGAGCUGCUCUGUAGCACGCACAGCGACGCAGGCACCAACUGACACAGUCCGACUGAAGUUUCUUCAGGCUCAGAACUGUUGCUAAGAGUAGAGAAUGCAUUGCAGGCAUGUAGUAUUGACUGCAGCCCGGUUACAGUGCUUACUGUAGUUGAUUUUAAAGCGUUGAGGGCUGACGGUUUUCAUGCACUUUCAGUUCCUGAAGUGCUUCAUUUCAUUACUGCUGUAGCAUUGUUCUGUUGGUCUAAUUAUGGACAAGUGCACGGAAGACAAUGAUUGUUUCCAUCCAGGCCUGCUUACAAUGCAACUUGAUUUUCAGCAGAUUUUCAGGCUGGGAGGGGGAAUUUCUGUGGACCACUUAAUGUGAGGUGCGGGCAUAGGAAGUGCAGGAGACACUGUUGCAGAACAGAGUGGAUUUCCAUACGCUCUUGUUUACCUGUUGUCACCUGUCGCGUGUACAUGAGCAAGGAAAGGACGUGUGUGCUUAAGCCAUGUCCAAGUAAAUACCUGUAUUUGCUUUGUGACAGAAGUUCUUGGGACAACCAGGGUGUUGGGACCUUGUCAGAGAAUCACAGAAUGGCCCGGGUUGGAAGGGACCUCAAGGAUCAUGAAGCUCCAGCCGCCGCCCACCACAGGCAGGCCCACCAACCUCCAUGUUUAAUACUGGACUCAUCCUUGUGACUGCUUGUAUGCCCCAGUUUUUAUGCCUGGCUUUGCCACAUCCUCAUCUUGGCAAGCUUUGGGAAUAACCAGUAAAAUCAUCCCUGAGGGCUAUCGUGCAGGGAUAUUUUCAUCUAACUCCUGUGAGUUGUGGUGCCCGGGUCUAAGAAUCACCACUCUUGUGAUUGUGUGUCAGUCAUUCCCUGUAGUAGCAGUGUGUGCCCGGAUAAUAUUAGUGGAAGGGGAAGAUGAGGCUCAGGCUUGCCAACAGUAUGGCUGACAAAAUUCCAGUGGGGCUGGCACCUGCUGUCUCCAAGGUCUGAGUGUGCCUGUUUAUGGUUCAUGGUUCACUGUUGUAUGUGAGAGACCUUUAAAAAAUUGAAAGCUUGUUUAAAAACUGUUCACUGUAGUGUUUUGAAACAAGGGAUGAAAGGGAAUCAUGUAGUUGAAUACAAGUGAAAAUACUAUUUCACUUUGCCCAGCAUCUGAGUAGAGUCAAACAGGUACUUAAUUUAUCUAUCUGUAGUCUCCUGUAGCCUUCAUUGGUAUCUAACAAGUGGAAAAACUGUAACAUUUUCCAUUUCUGCCAAUGUUAACUCAUAUUGCAUAGUUAAAUGAGUAACCACGCUAAAUUCAGUAGGAUAGUGUGUAUGAGGGCUGCUCAUCACAACAGACUGACGUAACUCAGUUUAAACAGAGCUUUUUUAGCAGUGGUCAGCCACUCCAGACAUACAAAAGGGGCUGUUCUUAGAGCUGAAAGCUUCCUGUUGAGUAUAGAUGAAACGAAUUAACUCUAUUGAUUAAGCUAACUUUUAGAGCAGCCUAAUAAGAACAGCUCCCGACAAAGAAACAUAGAUUAAUGACAGUAUUUUGGGGGGAUUCAAAUACAGUAAAAAAAGAACUAAACACCAACUGUAAACUUGAGGUAAAAAUAAAUGCAAGUUUUAAAUUGCAAUGGACAUUGCUUAGAAAACUUCCUUACAGCAACAGAACUGCUUAGCACAGAGAAGGGAAGGGAAGCUACUGGAGUUGCUUUUUCUUUUCCUGCUAAUAUAACAUUAUUAGUGUUGAUGAUGUUUCUCCCAUAAAUGUUUCAUGUAAAUAGCAUAUCAUCACCUGUGACAGUGAUGGUAUAAAGGAAUAUUACACUUGCCCUGUGAUCUACCUAAAGCUAAUUGCUUGCAUAGGCUUCAUUACUUUUCAACUGUCAGGGAAAAAAACUGAUCAAUAACAUGGUUGUAUGUUCUGAUGUACGUCUCAGACAGUGUAAAGACUGUUAAACAUUCUCCCACUCUUCUGUUCUUUCCAAGUCUCUCUAAUGUCCUAAUACUCUGUAACUGUUGUUUAAUUUUCAAGAACUGAUUGCUAGAUGUUUGAUUUGAGCAAACUGGGGAAGAGCUACCCAGCCCAUCCCUGGCUGACACUCCAGGUCUCAGCUCCUGCUGUUAGAUUCCUGUGCUCUCUUCUCACAAGAAAGCCUCUCAGCCCUUUACGUACAGAGACUGCUGACAUGGGGCAUGGAAAGCCAAACCCAUCUGUUACUGACAACUUGCCUGUUUGCACAGAACUUUAGGAUAGUGACAACUGAGCAGCACCAGACAAGGGUGCAACAGUGCCAGCGUACAGCUACCAGCCUGAGCAGUGUGUUUGCUUUUCUUUGGCACCUGCCAGUGCUGUGCUGCAGAAGUCCUGGCUGGUGGGCCAGAAUCCAUUCAUCAUGGUGCACUGCUGCAAGGAUACGUUGUUGUAGCAGCAUUCAGAGCUGUUUUGUCUGCCAAAGCCAGUAUCAGGCCUGUUGGUCUCCUCACUUAUUUUAUUAUAAUUCUCCCACUUCCUGUUUGUUGCAUGCUAUUUUUCUGCUGCUGCUGCUGUUGUUUUUCCAUUCUCUUCAGUUCUCCCUGUCUCACAGUCCAGCUGUCCCUCCCAGCUGCCAUGGAGCCCAUCAUUGCCCAUAUUCCACUGCUACCGAUACAGGGACAUCACCCACAGCCGCAUACUCACUGCAGGAAAUAACUGUCAUUCCUGCUGUACUGCACACCAUGGCUGUUGGAGGACAUUUGUUAAAUAACUAAAUUGUCUUGAGACUUGAGUACCAUGUAAGAGUUACAGCAUGAUCAUAUUUGUUCUGGACAAUCAACUUCAUGUAAUGGGAAACUCCAUUCGAAGCCAGAUCCUAGGAAAAAGCAGGAUGAGGCUAUCAAAUAAUGUUACCCUUGUCUAGUACAGCACUAUGCAGAAACUUCACACUUCUGUGAAAUGAUCCUCAAAAGAGCAAAUUGGCCCAGCAGUAUUGUGGCUGCAUGGUACUCUAACUGAGAAAUCACACUAAUUUUCUACUUAUUACAAACUCUUUCAAAUUCUUUGUAUUCACAUUCUUAUUUCUGGAAACAAAUCCAUGACCUGAGAUAAUUAAUUUACUUCAACAGUCAACAGGAAAAUGGAUCUGCCAUUUAUCUUUCAGCUUGACUUUGUGUACAGACUCAGGCAAUUACAUCUCCAUCUUUUAGUUAAUUUUGUCUGCUACAGACUCAGUUAAAUUUACUUGCAGAUUUCAGUUAUUUCCUGAAAGUCUGCAGGAUAUGAGCGAUCACUGUUUGUGUAUUAAUCACUGAGAUGUUUUUUUCCUGACUUCCUAAGGAAAUAAAGCUUACAUAAGCAUUCUGCAUGUCUGUGUGCACACUUUGUCCUUUCUCUCUGCCUUGUCUCUUUGGAAUUAAUUGACUAAUCAACCAAUCUGAAAGAAAAAUAGUCCUCCUAAGAGACUGUAUAUGCCUUAGAUGCUGUGUUGUCCGCAGUAUAUUUUCUUUUUCUUCUUUUCAUUGAGGAAAACGUUGCAGUGUGAACCUGCUACCCUAUUAGGCUCCAGAAAAUCUACAGGAGAGCAAUGUCAUGAGAAUGCCA
rnacentral:lncRNA from 1 species